UUUUUUUUUACCAUAACCAUGCUUUAUUAUUACCAAUGUGAUUAAAAGGAUACAUACAAACUUCCAACAAUAAAAUACAUCAGCACAUGACAGCACAUCCAGCAUCACACAUUUUCAACAAUGGCGCUCUUCCUCUUAGCAUUGGUAGAGCUUGUUGACCUUCAGGACAUCAAUGUCGGACAUGCCCAGUCUCUGUCCAAUGGCCACAGAUGGGUCUGGGAUGGGAGUGAUGGUUUCCUUUCCGUAGUCGUUAGUGUAAGCGGUUCUAUCAUAGUGCAUGACAGAGGAGUAGUCGUAUGCAGUGUGCAGGUUGUUGGUGUCCUCCUUCUGGAAGUUCCCAACGGCGUAGUCAUAGAUGUAUUGCCAGUUGAUCCUGAUAUACUGUUCACGGUCACUCCUGUUGUGCUCGUGGUAGGCAGUCUGUGUCUUACGUGGAAUGAAGCGGAUGCAGGUCUUGCCUUGGAAGUACUUCAUGGCCGUCUCAAUAGUCUCUACCUCCAAGCUGGAAUAUACAGCGCUGAGGAUGUAAGGCACGUACACCAAGCCGUCAGAUGACUUCUUCCAGAGACAGCUGUACUGGCUGCUAAAGCACUUCAUGGCGUUCCUGGUUCUAGGAGCUAGAAUGUCUCCAUCCAGCAGUAGCUCAUUGGUUCCGUUGUUGGACUUCAGGAUUACUGAAGUGAUGGACACAUGGUCCGGCUCAUCAUGGAACUCAUUUCCACUGGCCUGUGAUAGGCCCAGCAGCAGCAGCAGCAGAAGCAGGCUAAGAGUGGGUCUGUGGUCCAUCUUUCGUCAGAGUAUGGAGUUACUUUGGAUGGAUGGGUCCUUGGCUUUACCUGUGGAGGAUCCUAAAAUGGCUCAUUCACCAAAGCUUGAUGCCAGUGUUCUGUCAGAGCUGAGUUUAUAUACAGCUGUCCCAUAGGUGUGACUGUGUAGGAUUAACGGUUGGGGAUGAUGCUCACUGUCUUGGAAAAACAACCAGAGGGAGUGCUCCACAACCUAACCCACUGUUUCAACAAUUCAUCUGUG
rnacentral:lncRNA from 1 species